ensembl:lncRNA
UGUAGAUGGUGGAUGGAUCACUAUGAGGUGGAAUAUAAACUGUAGAUGGAUCACAAUGAGGUGGAAUAGAAACUGUAGAUGGAUCACAAUGAGGUGGAAUAGAAACUGUAGAUGGAUCACUAUGAGGUGGAAUAUAAACUGUAGAUGGAUCACUAUGAGGUGGAAUAUAAACUGUAGAUGGAUCACAAUGAGGUGGAAUAGAAACUGUAGAUGGAUCACUAUGAGGUGGAAUAGAAACUGUAGAUGGAUCACUAUGAGGUGGAAUAUAAACUGUAGAUGGAUCACUAUGAGGUGGAAUAUAAACUGUAGAUGGAUCACAAUGAGGUGGAAUAUAAACUCAUCAAAAAC